GAGUGACCGCCCCCCGAAGUCUGCCUGCUGGGGCUGCUUCAUACCACCUCGAGCGGCAUUGGCUAAAGACCGUUGUCGUGAGCGUCGGGGGAAAAGGCUCAUCCAUGUGGUGAGUCAGGU
rnacentral:ncRNA from 1 species